rnacentral:misc_RNA from 1 species
UACGAGUGCCCCAAGCGUUAUCCGGAAUCAUUGGGCGUAAAGGGUGUGUAGGCGGCUGUGUUAGUCUCGCGUCAAAGCCUCCGGCUUAACCGGAGAUCUGCGUGGGAAACGGCACAGCUAGAGGAUGCGAGUGGUAUGUGGAACUCAUGGAGUAGGGGUGAAAUCCGUUGAUAUCAUGGGGAACACCAAAAGCGAAGGCAGCAUACUGGCGCACUCCUGACGCUGAAACACGAAAGCCAGGGUAGCGAACGGG